AUCAAACAGAUGGUGCGCUCCGAGCGACGAGC
rnacentral:piRNA from 1 species